rnacentral:rRNA from 1 species
UACGUAGGUGACAAGCGUUGUCCGGAUUUACUGGGCGUAAAGAGCGCGCAGGCGGUCGAUCAAGUCGAGUGUGAAAGCCCCCGGCUCAACUGGGGAGGGUCAUUCGAUACUGAUCGACUCGAAGGCAGGAGAGGGUAGUGGAAUUCCCGGUGUAGUGGUGAAAUGCGUAGAUAUCGGGAGGAACACCAGUGGCGAAGGCGACUACCUGGCCUGUUCUUGACGCUGAGGCGCGAAAGCUAGGGGAGCAAACGG